CCUACGGGAGGCAGCAGUGAGGAAUAUUGGUCAAUGGCCGUAAGGCUGAACCAGCCAAGUAGCGUGAAGGAAGAAGGAUCUAUGGGUUGUAAACUUCUUUUAUAGGGGAAUAAAGGUAUCCACGUGUGGAUAUUUGCAUGUACCCUAUGAAUAAGCAUCGGCUAACUCCGUGCCAGCAGCCGCGGUAAUACGGCGGAUGCGAGCGUUAUCCGGAUUUAUUGGGUUUAAAGGGUGCGUAGGUUGUUUUUUAAGUCAGCGGUGAAAGUUUGUGGCUCAACCAUAAAAUUGCCGUUGAUACUGGCAGACUUGAGUGUGUUUGAGGUAGGCGGAAUGCGUGGUGUAGCGGUGAAAUGCAUAGAUAUCACGCAGAACUCCGAUUGCGAAGGCAGCUUACUAAGCCAUAACUGACACUGAAGCACGAAAGCGUGGGGAUCAAACAGGAUUAGAUACCCCGGUAGUC
rnacentral:rRNA from 1 species